GUUAGAAACAUACUUGCAAUAUUAGCCAGUUACAUUUUGUGUGCAAACUGUAUUGAGAGUGAAGAUUAUGCUGCGAGGGACAAUUUGCUUGAAAGCAAAGAUUAGUCGAUAAAUUGACUUGCGAAUAUACAGCAUACCAGCUGUCAAAAACUGCUUCCGCAUUGGAAUGCAGUCACUCCAUCGGACCAUCAGCGAGGAUAAAAAAGAAGCCUUCGUGUCGACUGGUCGUGGAAAAGGCUACCGCGUACCGAUUAGAAAAGUUCGCGAAACAGAAACGCCCGCUUAAAAUACGGUUGGCAAAGAGUGUGACCGUGGGAGACAUCGGUCGGUGAUUAAAAUAAACCGUCGGAAUCGAAGUAAAAAUUAGCCACCACUCGGAAACUCAUCCACACGAGGGACCAUCCUCGGUGUCCCGGAAAAAACCAGCCACGAGUGAUUAACUGGUCCGCACAGCCUUCGCCGAAGGGAGCCGGCAUUUCUUUGGAGAGCCAUUCAGCUUAGGAAAACAAUUCAGAUUACCUGGACAAUCGGGCAUUGUGAAAAGCACCUUGAGAUUCUUCGGGACGUACUCGUCGCCCAAGCAAACUGCGUCACGAGAUUUAGCAGCAAGCAUCCCCUUCGUUGGAUCCGUAGGUCCACUGACGUCGAUCAUCCGGUAAUAGGAUCAGGAAAGGGACUCGAACACUAGGGCGUACGAAGGACGUGCUGAAGUGCCGAAUAGACCUGUUGGAACAACCCGACCAGCGAAACAAGAGAGCCUUACAAGUAGGUUGCAUAUACAGGACGGGAUUGCAUAUAGAAACUAAUAUGCGUUGUCCAACAGGGCUCUUUUUUUUCUACAGCUUCUAUUGGCCUUCAGACUCAUUCGGCGGAGGACUCUGGACCGCGACCAAUCCAUCAGCAAGGUACGGGCUGUCACACGAUCGAGGCUCAUCGACAGCGUAGAUCCCAAACAGGGCCGGGAUUCGGCACGGAGAGGCGGGUGAUCGUGGAUGCCGGGGAUUACGGUGGUAGAUGGGCCACUGGCCGAAGCGGACGCGCUCGCCCACAAGCAGC